AGAGUUUGAUCAUGGCUCAGGAUGAACGCUAGCUACAGGCUUAACACAUGCAAGUCGAGGGGCAGCAUGGUCUUAGCUUGCUAAGGCCGAUGGCGACCGGCGCACGGGUGAGUAACACGUAUCCAACCUGCCGUCUACUCUUGGACAGCCUUCUGAAAGGAAGAUUAAUACAAGAUGGCAUCAUGAGUUCACAUGUUCACAUGAUUAAAGGUAUUCCGGUAGACGAUGGGGAUGCGUUCCAUUAGAUAGUAGGCGGGGUAACGGCCACCUAGUCUUCGAUGGAUAGGGGUUCUGAGAGGAAGGUCCCCCANAUUGGAACUGAGACACGGUCCAAACUCCUACGGGAGCA
rnacentral:rRNA from 1 species